UUGUCUCGGUGCUCCAUUUUUUACACCUAAGAUUUACAAGGGAUUGUUUAGAUUCUGUAGAAUAUAAUUAUAUGUAUGUCUCCCAUUAGCUCUUGUUGAGGUGUGGCUUGUGGUGCUCCCUUUUUCACAAAAGAUGUAUAAGGGAAAAGGGAUUUUGUAGAAUAUAAUAAAUUUCAUAGUUGUCACGGCAUCGCCUAGACGUCCUGACGUAACAACAAGCAUCAUGGCGAUGCUUGUCUUAGGGGAGGCUGCCAAGUGCCUUGGCAGCUAAGCAUGCACAAGUCAUUGCCGACGAGAGCCUCAGUAGGGGGGUAAAUUUCAAGCUGGCUUUUUCGUAAUCCAAGACACAUGGACUUUACCCAUUACAAAUCGAAUUAAAAGAGGGAGAGAAGAAAACUAAAAGUCUUCAGCAACUUUUAUUUUGCCGACAAUGAAGAGUAUUUCAAAACACGACUGCGAAGAGAGUCCUAAAAGAUUUCAACUUACAGUCGUCGACCAUAAGCAGCUCGCGACGCAAGUUGCCAACGCCACAGGCAUGCCGUAGUAGUAUUAGAUGGAAAAAUGGAAGAAUACAAAGAAGAAGUGAAAGAAAA
rnacentral:lncRNA from 1 species